GACGAACCGAGCGAACGUUGUUCGGAAUCACUGGGCGUAAAGGGUGCGUAGGCGGGUCUUUAAGUCAGGGGUGAAAUCCUGGAGCUCAACUCCAGAACUGCCUUUGAUACUGAGGAUCUUGAGUUCGGGAGAGGUGAGUGGAACUGCGAGUGUAGAGGUGAAAUUCGUAGAUAUUCGCAAGAACACCAGUGGCGAAGGCGGCUCACUGGCCCGAUACUGACGCUGAGGCACGAAAGCGUGGGGAGCAAACAGG
rnacentral:rRNA from 1 species